rnacentral:rRNA from 1 species
AGAGUUUGAUCAUGGCUCAGAGCGAACGCUGGCGGCAGGCUUAACACAUGCAAGUCGAGCGCCCCGCAAGGGGAGCGGCAGACGGGAGAGUAACACGUGGGAACAUACCUUUUGGUUCGGAACAACUGAGGGAAACUUCAGCUAAUACCGGAUAAGCCCUUACGGGGAAAGAUUUAUCGCCGAAAGAUUGGCCCGCGUCUGAUUAGCUAGUUGGUGAGGUAACGGCUCACCAAGGCGACGAUCAGUAGCUGGUCUGAGAGGAUGAUCAGCCUCACUGGGACUGAGACACGGCCCAGACUCCUACGGGAGGCAGCAGUGGGGAAUAUUGGACAAUGGGGGCAACCCUGAUCCAGCCAUGCCGCGUGAGUGAUGAAGGCCUUAGGGUUGUAAAGCUCUUUUGCCCGGGAAGAUAAUGACGGUACCGGGAGAAUAAGCCCCGGCUAACUUCGUGCCAGCAGCCGCGGUAAUACGAAGGGGGCUAGCGUUGCUCGGAAUCACUGGGCGUAAAGCGCACGUAGGCGGAUCUUUAAGUCAGGGGUGAAAUCCCGGAGCUCAACUCCGGAACUGCCUUUGAUACUGGGGAUCUUGAGUUCGAGAGAGGUGAGUGGAACUGCGAGUGUAGAGGUGAAAUUCGUAGAUAUUCGCAAGAACACCAGUGGCGAAGGCGGCUCACUGGCUCGAUACUGACGCUGAGGUGCGAAAGCGUGGGGAGCAAACAGGAUUAGAUACCCUAGUAGUCC